UCUUGGAUUCAAACGGACGAAAAACUUGAAAAGGAGUUUUCUAUAAAAAAUAAUUUUUUUAAGAGAAAAUUUUCUUUUUUUUUCGAGAAACCAAAUAGCCUCUGUUUUAGGCAGCGAAGAUCUCAUAUGCCAGAUUGAAUUUGCUUCUAAAAAGGUAAAUUGCAUGUUUAGUCCUCAAACUAUGAGUCAAGUGACACUUUAGUCCUUAAAUUUUAAUCUGCUAUAAUUUGCCGCUUGAACUUUAAAAAUUGUUAUAAUCAUAGUUCCACAAUCUAAUUUACUUGAUUAAAUAUCAAUAUAUUGUAAAUGUAGAAGAAAUGUAGCAAGGUCAGGGGACUCUACCUACCUACACUCAUUUGGGACGAACUCCAGCAUUGCGACACUACAAGGGGUCGCGACAAACAUCUAGCGGGCAAAUGUAUGCAGUCCAUAUGGAGAAUGCAUCAGCGACGGUCACCGCCAAUGACUAAGCCAUUACAUCACUUUUAUAUGAACAAUGCGUCAAUGUUUAAUUAACUAACUUAGAUUGUGCGACUUAAUUACAAUAAUUCUGAAAGUUCGAAUAAAAAAUUAUGAAAAAACUUAAAGUUUCGAGGACCCAAACAUGCAUUACCCUUUUAAAAAAAUUUAAUUUUAGAAAUUAAGCAUAGUGCAGAAUUGAGCUAGAAUACUCUCAAAAGUAUCAUGAAGGUGGUGCUUUUGAGUUUUUAGUUAUUGGAUGGAGAGAUGUGAGAUUGAGACGAUACUGAUAGGUGGUAGUAGGUGGACUAGUGUUUAAUCCAAAGGCUAUUAGUAAUCAAGGAAUAGAUCCAAAGGCUAGAAACUUAGAAGCACAAAAGGAUUGGUGCUUCUAAAAGUAUUCUAGCUCAAUUCCACAGUGCAUGUAAAGCAUGGAUACAAAUAAUUUAGGGUUAAUUACAUCGGUAGUCCCCAACCUUUCCACCAAUUUUCACUUGAGUCCCCAGUCUUUUUUUUUUUUGCAAUUGAGUCCCUAACUUCUUGAUUUUAUACAAUUAGGUCCCAACCGUUAAAAAAAGGGUUAAAAUUAAUGGAAUCGCCACGUCAGCGCCUAUGUGGCAACUUUUUGCAUGUCAAUUUAGGUCCCUAAACUUUGCACAUUUUUCAUUUUAGUCCCUAAAAAAAUAUUCAAAAUUUUAAAUUUAAAUUCAAAAAUAAUAUUAAAAUUAAAAUUUUAAACUAACGAAAAAUUAAAAUUUUGAAUUUGAAUUUAAAGCUGAAUUAAAAUUUUGAAUUGAAAUUCAAAUUUUAAAUUUAAAAUUUUAAUUGAAUCCAAAUUAAAUUUUAAUUUUAAUUUGAUUUUAAAUUUGAAUUUAAAUUUUAAAUUUGAAUUUAAGAUUUGAUUUCAAUUCUAAAUUUGAAUUUAAACUUCGAAUUCAAAUUCACAUUUUGAAUUUGAAAUUUCAAAUCGAAGUUUGAAAUUAAAUUAGAAUUUAGAAUUCCAAAUGUGAAUUUGAAUUUAAAAUUUAAAUUUUAAAAUAAAUACAGGAGAGAGAAUUUGAAUUUGAAUUUGAAUUUAAUAAUUUGAAUUUGAAUUUGAAUUUAGAAUUUAGGGAGGUGCUCACAAAUUCAAUUUGGUCCCUAACCUUUUUUUUCAAUUUAAAAUUCUCUCUCCUCUCUCUCUCUCUCUCUCUCUCUCUCUCUCUCUUCAUAUAUCACUAACCACCUU
rnacentral:lncRNA from 1 species